UCAAAUCAUUUUUUAUGAUAGAGAUACCGAAUCCAUGAUCGGAAUCAUUGAAAUUGAUCUAGAGUAUUUGAAUUAUUCAGGAACUAAAUUUUAUAAAUUUUAAAAUUUAUUUACAUAGUGAUCAAAGUAUUGCAAAAUUGACAAUUUUUUACGGUCUAUAUGAGCUAAUUGCUUGUAUGCAAAUAACUCCGAUUGUAAAUUGAGAAAGCCUAACCUCUGUUUUCAAAAGGUCAUUUAUUUUUGACCGUUCAUUUUUCGACUUUUCGAUAGAUUUGAUAAUAAUUUUUAAAAAUUAUAAAAUUCAGCUUCUAAAUAUUUCUAAUAGUAUAGAUCAAUUUCAACGAUGUUGAUUAUCAAUUUGAAGUCUCGAUCAUCCAAAUCGACUUGAUAGGAUUUAGGCUUCUAUCCUCUUAAGAGGAUAGUAGCCCGAUAUAUAUAUAUAUAUAUAUAUAUAUAUAUAUAGUCCAGCUACUAUACUUUUAUGAGUACGAUCGCCCUCAUACUCAUAAGUUGUUUUCGAUGAUAGAGCUUCCGAAUCAAUGAUCCACACCGUUAAACGUUAUCUAGAGUAUAUGAAACUUCUAGAAAAUAAAUUUCGUAAUUUUUCGAAAUCAUAAUAAAGUUCAUCAAACGGGUAUAAAAUGAACGGUCAAAAUCGAACGACGUUUUAAAAGUGGAUGUUCGGAUCCUUCAAUUUAAUAUCGGAGUUAUUGAUCUUGAUCGGAGUUAUUGAUCUUUAUCUAUAUAGUGAAUAGAAUUUUCUAUCAAAAAUUCAACCGAUUUCGAUUUUUUUACACGAUUAAACUAACAAAUAUUCCAUACCGAUCGUUAAAAAUUGUCAAUUUUGUGACCUUUUGAUUGUAAGGUAAAUGGUGUUAAAAAAUUAUAAAAUUUUAUUUCUAGACGUUUUAAAUGCUCUAGAUAACGUUUUAACGGUGUGAAUCGUCGAUUCGGAAGCUCUAUCAUCAGUAUGAGUACGAGGGCGAUCAUACUCAUAAGAGUAUAGUAGCCGGACUGAGUAUAGAGUAUUUAAAACGUCUAGAAAUCAAAUUUUAUAAUUUUUUGACAUCAUUUACCUUACGAUCAAAAGGUCACAAAAUUGACAAUUUUUAACGGUCGGUAUGGAAUAUUUAUUAGUUUAAUGGUGUAAAAGAAUUAAAAUCGGUUGAAUUUUUGAUAGAAAAUUCUAUUCACUACAUAGAUAAAGAUCAAUAACUCCAAUCUAUCCGAACAUCCAUUUUUAAUAUGUCGUUUGAUUUUGACUGUUCAUUUUAUGCCCGUUUGAUGAACUUUAUUAUCAUUUUGAAAAAUUACGAAAUUUAUUUUUUAGAAGUUUCAAAUAUUCUAAAUUAUAUUUAAUAGUGGAUCGUCGAUUCAGAAGCUUUAUCAUUAAAAACAGCUAAUGAGUUUGAAGGACUCUAUACUCAUAAAAGUAUAAUAGCUCUAACUCUAUAUGAGUCCGUCUCCGGUACUUUCGAAAGUACGGGAGGCCCUGUGCUUGUAAAUUAUUUUCGAUGAUAGGACGUCCGAUUCGACGAUCGGCUCCGUUAGGUAUGAUCUAUCCUAUUGGAACUAUCUAGAAACCAAAUUUUAGAUUUUUUUGACAUCAUUUACUAAGCGAUCAAAAUGUCUAAAAAAUGACUAGUUUAACGGCCGAUGUGGCACAUUUUUAAGUUCAACGGUGUAGAAGUAUCCAAAUUACAUGAAAAUUUAAUAGAAAAUUCUACUUAACAUCAGUAGCAAGAUCAAUACUUCCGAUUUAAAAUUUGAAUCCUUUAUCACCGUUUUUUAUGAGAUUUUUAUUUUCAGCCGUUCAUUUUGAGGCCACUCGUUCACUAGACAAACGAAAUAAAAAAAUUAUGAAAUUCAGUUUCUAGAUAGUUCCAAUAGCGUAGAUCAAGUUUAACGGAACCGAUCGCCGAAUUGAAUGUCCCAUCAUCGAAAACAACUUACAAGCACGGAACCUCCCGUACUUUCGAAAACAUAGGAGCCUAGCUAUAUAUAUAUAUAUAUAUAUAUAUAUAUAUAUA
rnacentral:lncRNA from 1 species